UCGUCAGUAAGGUUAAUCCUUACCUGUUCCUCCUCUGGAGGGCAGAUACGAACAUGAUGAUUGGAGUACACAUGAUUCGUGAUUAACGACUCUGUGUAGUCAGGGCUUGCAACACCCUGAUUGCUCCUAUCUGAU
ensembl:snoRNA U8 U8 small nucleolar RNA